UGGGGAAUAUUGCACAAUGGGCGCACGCCUGAUGCAGCAACGCCGUGUGAACGAUGAAGGUCUUCGGAUCGUAAAGUUCUGUUGCAGGGGAAGAUAAUGACGGUACCCUGUGAGGAAGCCCCGGCUAACUACGUGCCAGCAGCCGCGGUAAUACGUAGGGGGCUAGCGUUAUCCGGAUUUACUGGGCGUAAAGGGUGCGUAGGUGGUCUUUCAAGUCGGUGGUUAAAGGCUACGGCUCAACCGUAGUUAGCCUCCGAAACUGGAAGACUUGAGUGCAGGAGAGGGAAGUAGAAAUCCCAGUGUAGCGGUGAAAUGCGUAGAUAUUGGGAGGAACACCAGUAGCGAAGGCGGCUUUCUGGACUGAAACUGACACUGAGGCACGAAAGAGUGGGUAGCAAACAGG
rnacentral:rRNA from 1 species